GACGAACGCUGGCGGCGUGCUUAACACAUGCCAGUCGAACGGAAAGGCCUGCUUUCCCUUGUGGAUUGCGGGUACUCGAGUGGCGAACGGGUGAGUAACACGUGAGUGAUCUGCCCCCAACUUGGGUAUAAGCCUGGGAAACUGGGUCUAAUUCCCGAUAGGACUGCAGGGUGGUGCCUGUGGUGGAAAACGAUUUUCUAGUGGUUGGGGAUGAGCUCGCGGCCUAUCAGCUUGUUGGUGGGGUAAUGGCCUACCAAGGCGGCGACGGGUAGCCGGCCUGAGAGGGUGGACGGCCACAUUGGGACUGAGAUACGGCCCAGACUCCGACGGGAGGCAGCAGUGGGGAAUAGUGCACAAUGGGCGGAAGCCUGAGGCAGCGACGCCGCGUGGGGGAUGACGGCCUUCGGGUUGUAAACUCCUUUCGACCGCGAGGAAGCCACCUGGUUGGAAGGGUGGUGACGGUAGUGGUAGAAGAAGCACCGGCUAACUACGUG
rnacentral:rRNA from 1 species